rnacentral:rRNA from 1 species
GACAGAGGGGGCAAGCGUUGCUCGGAAUUACUGGGCGUAAAGGGCGCGUAGGCGGGAUGGCAAGUCGGUCGUGAAAUCCCUCGGCUCAACCGAGGAACGUCGACCGAUACUGCUGUUCUUGAGGAUUGCAGAGGAGACUGGAAUUCCCGGUGUAGCGGUGAAAUGUGUAGAGAUCGGGAGGAACACCGGUGGCGAAGGCGGGUCUCUGGGCAAUUCCUGACGCUGAGGCACGAAAGCCAGGGGAGCAAACAGG